rnacentral:rRNA from 1 species
CCUACGGGUGGCAGCAGUAGGGAAUAUUGCUCAAUGGGGGAAACCCUGAAGCAGCAACGCCGCGUGGAGGAUGAAGGUUUUCGGAUUGUAAACUCCUUUUGUUAGAGAAGAUAAUGACGGUAUCUAACGAAUAAGCACCGGCUAACAACGUGCCAGCAGCCGCGGUAAUACGGAGGGUGCAAGCGUUACUCGGAAUCACUGGGCGUAAAGAGCGCGCAGGCAGGAUAGCAAGUCAGAUGUGAAAUACAAUGGCUUAACCAUAGAACUGCAUUUGAAACUGUGAUUCUAGAGUGGGGAAGAGGAUAGUGAAAUUCCAGGUGUAGGGGUUAAAUCCGUAGAGAUAUAGAGGAAUACUAGUUGAGAAGGCGACCCUCUGGACCGUAACUGACGCUGAGGCGCGAAAGCGUGGGGAGCAAACAGGAUUAGAUACCCUAGUAGUC